GGUAUAGCUUAUCUGGUUAUCUUUGACAGUUAAAUAGUGUAGAAGAUGAGGAUGAUUAUUAUUAGAUAUAUCACAAACAAUUUCAGGUCAAUCAUUUAAUACAAAUAGCCUAUAUAUCUACUAGGUCUUAGUUACAGGAAAUGUCUAAUUGUCUAGUAUCAUAUGCUUGGUAAGGACAUAGAUUUUUGCCUUAAAUGAAGAUACAUACAAAUCAAAUAUCUUUUAAAAUGUGCUGGAAAUGAUUAUAUAAGAUUACCAACAUGUAACAAUGUGUGGAAACUAGAGUUAUUUUAUAGCUUUUCAAAUAGAGAUAAUUCUUUUGAGUAAAGCUAUUUAGAUGAAUGCUUAUAUGUCAUUUUCUACAAAUGACCAGGUCAGAAAAGGUCAUCACAGAUCAUUUAAAACUUAUUUUUAAGACAAUGAUAAUCAAAUGUCAUUACAUGUAAUAGUAGAAUAACUCAGUCACAAAAGACUGUGUAAAAGGAGCAUACUUUAAAAAAAUAUAGAAAACCACAUAAUUCACAAUUCACAUGAUUUGGAAAUACUGCUCUAAAACAGUAUACAUGUACUUGUUUGUAAAAAACUAUUUGUUGAUAUUCUCCAGUUAUGAAAUUAAAAUUGUAAAGAAAGGUAUAAGAAAAAAAAAAGAAAAAGUUUUUUUUCAAGCUUUUUUCUCAUGCCUUUCCCUUAGCCUGGCAUCCUGACCCAAUCUAAUACUUCGUCGAUAGGGCCAGGCGUAAUACAAUCCACGUGACCAACUAUCAGCGCUGAACAGGACUGAAUUACUGCGCAUGCGCGUAUUUUAUAAUCAAGGAAUAUAUCGAUCGGAUUGUAAAUUAACUGUUGAUUCACGAUGUUAAUCAACAACGCUUGGAUUAUAUUUGUUAAAGUUUUCGAAAUUUGCAUUUCAUAUUAAAAUAAAAAUAGUUUUCAAUAAAUUUGUGGCAAUAUAAAUAUUUCCCGCCAUGUGUCAAGAAAUGAAGCUAUCCCAAGAUGCAUCAUUCUAACAUCCAAUUGACAGAACCAUGUUGUUGUAUUCCGCCUGGCUCUACUGUCGAGCAGUGAGCCAGGAUCCCAGGCUAGCCUUUCCCUUUACAGUUUUAUUAAUGGGAGAUAAUCAGUUUUACUUAAUUUAUUAAGGGUGGAUAACAUUAAAUAGCCAAUCUAAAACUUUGAUUUGAUUAGAAAUGUAAAAGGUAUUGUAAGCAAAUCUUAAAAUCUUGCCCACUAUGUGUUACUUUGAUGUAUGCAUGGUAGAUAACUCUUUCCUCCUUAUGACAGUACAUUUUAAUCAAUAAAUAUUUUUUCUGCAGAUGAGGAAUUUCAUAGUAUGCAUUUAUUUAGAAAAAUAAAUAACUAUUUAUUAUAUUCAAUCUGAAUUAGUUUUUUGCAGUGUUAAGAUAUGAUUUAUUACUUGAAAUUGUUUGUUCUAAUGAAUUAAUGAAAUCAUAUUGAAAAAUGAAUAUUUUGUGAGCUCUUGUUGUACUAAUGUUAAAUUUACAAAGUACAGGUAUUUGACUUUUUGGGGGUCUUUAUGACAGAGGAUCAUGAGAAGGUAUUUGACUUUUUGGGGGUCUUUAUGACAGAGGAUCAUGAGAAGGUAUUUGAGUUUUGGGGGUCUUUAUGACAGAGGAUCAUGAGAAGGUAUUUGACUUUUGGGGGUCUUUAUUACAGAGGAUCAUGAGAAGGUAUUUGACUUUUGGGGGUCUUUAUGACAGAGGAUCAUGAGAAGGUAUUUGACUUUUGGGGGUCUUUAUUACAGAGGAUCAUGAGAAGGUAUUUGACUUUUGGGGGUCUUUAUGACAGAGGAUCAUGAGAAGGUAUUUGACUUUUGGGGGUCUUUAUUACAGAGGAUCAUGAGAAGGUAUUUGAGUUUUGAGGGUCUUUAUUACAGAGGAUCUUGAGAAGGUAUUGGAGUUUUGAGGGUCUUUAUCACAGAGGAUUAUAAGUAGGUACUUCAGUU